GGGGAUAUAGCUCAGUGGUAGAGCUUUUGACGGCAGUUUAAGAGGUCCCUGUUCAAACCCAGAUGCCCCCU